rnacentral:rRNA from 1 species
AUACAGAGGGUGCGAGCGUUAAUCGGAAUUACUGGGCGUAAAGCGCGCGUAGGCGGCUUGGUCAGUCGGAUGUGAAAGCCCUGGGCUCAACCUGGGAAUUGCAUUCGAUACUGCCAAGCUAGAGUAUGGGAGAGGGAAGUGGAAUUUCCGGUGUAGCGGUGAAAUGCGUAGAUAUCGGAAAGAACACCAGUGGCGAAGGCGACUUCCUGGCCCAAUACUGACGCUGAGGUGCGAAAGCGUGGGGAGCGAACAGGAUUAGAAACCCUAGUAGUCC